GAUCCUGGCUCAGGAUGAACGCUAGCUACAGGCUUAACACAUGCAAGUCGAGGGGAGACGACAUCGAAAGCUUGCUUUUGAUGGGCGUCGACCGGCGGACGGGUGAGUAACGCGUGGGUAACCUGCCUCAUACAGGGGGGAUAACAGUUAGAAAUGACUGCUAAUACCGCAUAAGCGCACAGUACCACAUGGUACGGUGUGAAAAACUCCGGUGGUAUGAGAUGGACCCGCGUCUGAUUAG
rnacentral:rRNA from 1 species